CCCUGGCAGCAGCCUCAGGGCAAGCAAGGGCUGAAGAGGAACGUGCAGUCCUGGAGCAGGAGAUGCUGCGACCACAGAGUUGCUGGCUGUUGCUGCCCUCGGCUUCUGCGGUGCUGUGAAGAGAGCUCAGCGGAAGGACACGGGGCAACUGCAGCUGAGGAGGGCGGGCGGCUGGACGGCGAGGGCGGCCAAAGCCCGGGUAGCCCCAUUAGCCCGACAGCUUUCCCAAACCUGCCCCGGGCCCUUCAAACGAAUUCCAGAGCUCGUUAUAAAUGAGAAGUACAAACGUGGACGAAGAGCUGCUUUUAUUUUGCUUUCYACCUGGAAGUAUCAUCCUGAGAACUUUGCGGUCGCAGCUGAGCUGUUCCCCGUUGAGGAUGGUUCUUAACACCUUGCCCUGGUGGGAAUCUCUUUUCCUUCCAAYGUGCCGUGAGACACACGGCGUGCCGUGGGGUGAGCCGUGCAGGUGUGAGGUCUCCAAGGCAGCAGCCACGGCCUGGAGAGCACAGUUUGGGAGUGUCAGAAGGGUGAAGCYGUCUGCAAACAAUACUGAUCACUCCUCCCUCUUCCUCCCUCCGUUGCGGGCUGCGAGACAGCCAAGAAAGCGUUCACAAAAGCUCCCCUCAAAGCCUGAAUCGCUCACAAACCUGCUUUAACUCCUUUAGCAGAUUUUAAACAACUUUCGAGAUUAUACAUCUGCCAAAGAAUAUAUUGGAGUGGUUCAGCUAACGUGCUUUUACAAAUGUUUUCCAAGUUUUCCUCUCUUUUUUUUUUCUCUUUUCCCCCUCUUUUGAUCUUGCCUGUAGAUCCUGCAUAUUUCCUGCAUAUUUGAGGGGGAAGGACUGAGAAAGUGAUAUUGUGGCACAGUAUGUGGGAAAUGCCAUGGGAAUACUUGUGUUUUUCUCUCAACAAAACAAACCUUUAUCACUGAAAGAAGGCAAAUACUAAGAAAACGGAGAGACCUAUGGAUAACAUGCAAAGGGGCAUUUCCAUGGGUCAGGGCAAGGCUCAACCUACUCUAAGGAUUUGACCCCUGAGGGUACCGUAAGUACAGAAGAGCAUUAAGAGCAUUAAGAAGAUACCAAMAGGUUUGGUGUCGUGGCGCGGGCGGGCUUGCACGUGCUCGUGCCUCCCUGUGUGGAGCCGGCGUGUUUUCCAGUCGGGCUCUGCACGUGUGUUUCCCUGUUUGCAGUAGAAACGGCUGCUGGGCGGCUCGUGCCGUCGAUGUCCGCGCUGUGCGYGGGUAGCCGGGCACUGGUUCCCAUUCCUGCUGCUCCCUCGGCACAGCGGCUGUGCCAGGGAGGAAGGGAUGCAGCCCCGGCCGCCUUCCAAAAUGUGGCUCCCCUCUGCCCGCGACACUUUGCUGAUAAAUACCCGAGGAUGCGGAUCCUGCCGAGCGUGCSUGCUAGCUCGGGAAGAGACCCGAGCCCUGCUGUGCUUCCUGCCGCCGGUUGCCUUAGGGAGACUAUAGGCGAUGUCACGUGCGGCAGCAGUCACGGACAACACGCAGCGCCUCGGUGGAACCUGCCCGGGAGCCGCUUCCCCCAUCCCAAGGACACGUGGAAAGCUUCCCCAGGCUACUGACGGGUCUGUUUGCCAGGGGCUCUCCGSAUGAGUACGGUCAAGAUGAAGGAAAGGGCAUUGUGGCUCUGUGCAGUCCCUUUGAUUCACUUAUUUCUUUUAAAACAAAUCUGCCUUUUUUAAGGAACAGAAGCAAAAAGUGGAUAAGUAGAAGACUUUCUGGUGGGGAGCUUAGUGUAAGGAGUAUUGGCUAGAAACUUGGUGCCUUUUAGCACCAGAGAAAUGGGGAAGGCUCGUGGCUUCCUCAGG